AGCCAGGCCCCACGCUAACGGUCGCCGCCUAACCCCGCCAGGCCCGGAAGGGAGCAACGGUAAGCGGUUGGGCGUUGUGCCGUGGUCAGCCUGGCUACC
rnacentral:SRP_RNA from 1 species